AGAAACACAAGAAAUAAGAAGACCAUUUUGAGAAGAACAGAGAGUAGCCUUAAGAAAAUCCCUGUCGCAAGCACUCUGGGAAUUGGACUCAAAUGCUAAUUAUACAGACAAGAUCAUGUUCUGUUGCUCAGGCUGACUAGUGAAGAAUUUCUUGCUGCCUGUGUGAAUGAGAGAACUAGUUUGGGACCACAUAGAAUAUAAUAGUGAGAUAAAUAUAGUAAACCAGUGUGAGUACCACUCAUUCUUCAACCACUUGGGUGCCCAGCUGCUGUCCAUUCUCCACACUUAUCCCACCUGAUGGAACGCUGUUGAGAAAAACAUCACUGCAAUGCCUAAUAAACAGACAUGGGUCCCAGACCCAAUAAGAGUGAAACCAUCCCCCUAUUUAAAUGAAAUUAUGGCUGAUGAGAAAGACAAAUUAAUUUCUCUGUCCCCAGUAUUACACAAAACUUUGGAUGCUGCCACUGUUACAAUUUUAUUUUCCCCAGGAGCUCAGAGUCCCACCUUCAUUCUUUUUGUUUAAUGCUUAAGCUUGCCUCUCCACCUAUGGAAGACUAGAAUGAGCAGAGACCAUGUAUUCAAUGAUCUGUAAAUCUAACAGGAAACAAUAUAAUAAAUAUAUUGUGUUUGCUAACCAAAUCUGUGAAUGAUUAGAUCGACUGGUUAAUGAUUAGAUGGAUUAACACAUCAUUUCUAUUUUCUCUCUCCUCCCCUACUUCUUGUUUUAAUGAUACCUUCCAAGUUUUAUUUCUCCAAGCCUAACCCCUUACAUAAUACAAGAGGACAACAGUUUGCAAAAUAAAUAUCUGUUGGCCCUAACUGGUAAAUACUGAAAUAGAUUUCAAGUAAUAUGAGUGUUUUUGAA
rnacentral:lncRNA from 1 species